rnacentral:lncRNA from 1 species
UCAUGUUUGCCGAGGGAAAACAGGUACGGUAGGAAAAACAUCAUGUUUAUCUUGUACAUCUGACGGGUUGUCUUUUUUAAAGACAAACAGCUGAAUUUGUCACACAAAACUGAAGUCAUAUCUUUCUUCAACUGUGUAUUUAUCAAGAAUGUCAACAGGUAACUGAUUAGGCACAACGGAAGCAAACACAUUAGAUCGAAAAAAGGUUGAUCAUAUAUAUCAGUAUCACCGCUAGGUGGAUAUAUCAUCAGUCAAUGGCAAGACCAUAAAUACGUACCAACAUUAGUGAAAAUAAAAGCAGCAAGUAUCCAACCAUCAUAUCAGAGGUCUUACAUUCUCAUUAAAUUCUGAUACUUGGAUUUAACAAUCCACAAAGCCACAAUAGAGCUAACUAUACAAUAAUGCAUCAGGCAUAAUAAAGGAGUAAUUAUUUGAAUUACUCCCUCCAAUCCAUAAUAGGUGUCCUGGUUUUAGUUCAAAUUUGAACUAAAACUACUACACUUAUUAUGGAUCGGAGGGAGUCCAUCUCAAAUAAUCUUUGCCCGAAUUAAAGGAGGUACAUUUCAUUUGAUCAAAUAGAGAUAAAAUGUGCAACAAAAACAUAAAAUAGCUGAAAAGAUCAGGGACGGACGGGCUCACAUGUCGUUGUAAAGUGUGACGGGUUGAUGGAACAGAAAUCCACUCAUUCCAAAUUAAUGAUACCAGCUUAAUGACCAUCGCUCCACACAUAAGGCAUACACCAUGUGCUUGGGAAGACAAUCCUAGAGAAAACAAUCAACAAGGUUUAUUUUCCUUAAACUCUGUGUUGUUUUCAUCACAUCAGAGAAAGUAGCAACUUAGAGAAUCAUAAAAUGCAAUCAGUUACAUCAGGUAAUCAUAAGCUCAUAGCACAUAUAACUAUAACCUUUUAGACCAUCCUAUCAUGCUAUCUUCAGGCGAAAUAAAAAUGAAUGUUAAGUGUUUUCAGCACGCCUACUAUUAAAAAUAAAUGAGGGGAAGCUAAGAGUGCACAUGUAAAAGCAUAGUUGUGAGUAAGAAGUACAUUUACAGUCAGCUUGUGUAAUCUCUUUCCUUUUAACAUAUCAGGGUAAACUGAGACAUAUUUUGGUUAUGCAUCUAGCAAUAGGGGCUGAGGGAAAGGAAAGAACAGCUGGGCAGAAAAAUAAAUACAAGGACGCUUGUGACCAUGCUGCCCAGCCACACGGCAAGCAUCAGCCAUCAAGAACAAAAAUUCAAAUAGCCAACCAUCAUCAAACCAAGUAGAGUCAACAAAUUGCGCUCAGGAGCACAAAUGGCUAGCCUCAGAACAUCAUAGCGCCAAGAAAACAGAAAUCAAACCACACAAACCAAAAAUAGUACUCCCUCUGUAAACUAAUAUAAGAGCGUUUAGAUCACUAAAAUAGUAAUCUAAAUGCUCUUAUAUUAGUUUACGGAGGGAGUACAACCCACAAAACCCAAUGAUGCAUGAACAAACUAAACAAUUUCAGUCCAUGGCCACCAGGACAACAGCUCUAAUCUUCUUCCAGUACCACUAAUGAAUGGACCAUAGUACGGCCGUGAACUCUCGUUUCCCCACUCCUGCCGCGACGACACUUGAAAGGGAAAAUGUUAGUCUGGCAGGUGAGCCACCCAGAGGGGAAACAAUGUCCAGAAGCUGGCAGAGCUGGCCCACACGCUCCCCAAGCCCGACGCAGGAGGGAGCAUAGUAACUGUAGGGAUGAACCAAACUGGGGUCCUGACUGCUAUUAUCUUUGCUAGCAAAAUGUUGCGCAACUGAUUUGCCCCCUUUUUUGUAGCAUUGCUUGGCAAAUUUGUCUCAUAAGAAAAACGGUAAGCUCACCAUUUCAAUGUGAAGAAUGAUCUUUCAGGGUGACAGAAGAAUUUGCUCAUAACUUCCACUACCAUGACACAUGCACAAAUGCAUAGUUUGGAAGCACCAUCAGGGCCACACAUUUAAGUCAAAAGAGCAUGAUCUACGAGCACUUAACUAGCAGGCGCAGGUUUUGCAGCACAUAUGGAGGAUUAAUGGUUUGACAUCUGUAAAAGCUAAGCCUCAUGUGGCACAUCUCACAGGCAGUAAUGCAUGAUCAGCAGCAUAGAUACAAGAGAUUAAGGGACACAUUUUUUUCCUAUUUAAUUAGCGCUUAAGUACUCCAACCAAAUCCAUGAACCAAGGAUCAAAAUAAUUGCCACACACACAAGGAUCUCAUUUGCAUCGUCAAAAAGAAGUGCAGAUCACUAAAGCAUCAACCGAUUAAACCAGAUUACACUUUUCAGCCCAAUUUGUUUUCCUUUUUAGGGAUCGGUAAGAUUGAUUAAAUUUAACAAUGCUCAUGUCUAAAAAAAUUAUGCACCACACAAGAACUCUAAACAGAUAAUUUGCAGUAAUCCAAAUAUCUAUAAACAAAACAAAGGAACAAUAAUCUGUACAAUAGUAGAUCCUUUGUGAGCUUUCUCGGUGGUAUUUCGGUACAGUAUGGCCCACCUGCUGAUGUAUUCUCCUCUGUAUGCUAAGUCGUAUCUGCGGCAAAAAGUUAAUCGACACACAUCAGAAGCCAACCUGUACCGUCCAGAUUCCAAGAGCACCUGAGCUCGGGAGUCAUUUCGCUGCUCCCCUGUCAUUCGACUGAUUUCUAAUUCAGUCCCAAUCGAAUUUUGCAAGUACAUAGGAUGACGCAUGACACUGUCAGCUCUACCAACUCGCUAACCCCCGCUACACAAACUUAAGGCUCUGUUCACCUAGGGGAACUAAUCCCUGCAGGGUUUUGGAGGGAACUAAGUAGUAUUUAUGUUACCAUGAACAACACAGUGCCUCUUAGCUCUGUCUAUAAUAUUCACUUGAUUUUAUCAUAGUUUUAUCAUAUUGAUCAAAGAGAGUUGCUCCAGCAAGUCAAUAGGAGUGGACUGCACUGCAUCCAGCUCUGCAUGAAUGGAGUCUAGUUAGUUGCUGCUGGAGAAGUCUCUUGGUUCUGCUCCAUCUUUUAAGGGAACAUGCAAAGCUUGGAAGUUCUUAAAUGUAAAGGUUUAUUGCAAGAACUGGACCAAGCAGUUUGAGCAGUCGCCUGAAAAUCACUUUCAAAUAACCACAAGUUUAGAAGUUUUCUUAGAUUUAACAGUGGCCGGUUGGAAAUGGUAAGAAUGGGAGCAUGGUCACUGUACAUAAUGGGCAGGUUAUAAACAGUACAUAAUGAGCAGCAACAGGAUAUAACCAAAAAGGGUAGCAUAAUUCACAGUUUGUAAGAAGGAACUCAACUACAAAAACAUCAUGUUUACCACAAAAAAAAGGUAUGAUACAAACACAUCAUGUUUAUCUUGUAGUACAUCCGACGGGUUGUCUCUUUUAAAGAGAAGCAGCUGAAUUUGUCACAGAAAACUUAAGUCGCAUCUUUCUUCAACUGUGUAUUUAUAAAGAAUGUCAACAGGUAACCGAUUAGGCACAAAGGAAGCAAACACAUUAGAUAGGAAAAAGGUUGAUCAUAUAUAUCAGUAUCACCGCUAGGUGGAUAUAUUACCGGUCAAUGGCAAGACCAUAAUACUCACCACAAUUAGUAAAAAUAAUAGUAGCAAGUAUCCAACCAUUGUAUCAGAGGCCUCACCUAUCUGGUUAAAUUCUGAUGCUUGGAUUUAACAACCCACAAAGCCAUAAUCGAGCUAACUAUACAAUAAUGCAUCAGACAUAAUAAAGGAG